rnacentral:rRNA from 1 species
GAAGAACCCCGGCUAACUACGUGCCAGCAGCCGCGGUAAUUCGUAGGGGCGAGCGUUGUCCGGAAUUAUUGGCGUAAAGAGCUUGUAGCCGUUUGUCGCGUCUGCUGUGAAAGCCCGGGGCUUAACUCCGGGUCUGCAGUGGUACGGGCAGGCUAGAGUGUGGUAGGGGAGACUGGAAUUCCUGGUGUAGCGGUGGAAUGCGCAGAUAUCAGGAGGAACACCGAUGGCGAAGGCAGGUCUCUGGGCCAUGACUGACGCUGAGAAGCGAAAGCGUGGGGAGCGAACAGGAUUAGAUACCCUGGUAGUCCACGCCGUAAACGUUGGGCGCUAGGUGUGGGUCCCAUUCCACGGGGUCCGUGCCGCAGCUAACGCAUUAAGCGCCCCGCCUGGGGAGUACGGCCGCAAGGCUAAAACUCAAAGGAAUUGACGGGGGCCCGCACAAGCGGCGGAGCAUGCGGAUUAAUUCGAUGCAACGCGAAGAACCUUACCAAGGCUUGACAUACACCGGACGAUCGCAGAGAUGUGGUUUCCCUUUGUGGCUGGUGUACAGGUGGUGCAUGGUUGUCGUCAGCUCGUGUCGUGAGAUGUUGGGUUAAGUCCCGCAACGAGCGCAACCCUCGUUCCAUGUUGCCAGCAACACCUUUGGGUGGUUGGGGACUCAUGGGAGACUGCCGGGGUCAACUCGGAGGAAGGUGGGGAUGACGUCAAAUCAUCAUGCCCCUUACGUCUUGGGCUUCACGCAUGCUACAAUGGCCGGUACAAAGGGCUGCGAUCCCGUGAGGGGGAGCGAAUCCCAGAAAGCCGGUCUCAGUUCGGAUUGGGGUCUGCAACUCGACCCCAUGAAGUCGGAGUCGCUAGUAAUCGCAGAUCAGCAACGCUGCGGUGAAUACGUUCCCGGGCCUUGUACACACCGCCCGUCAAGUCACGAAAGUCGGUAACACCCGAAGCCGGUGGCCUAACCCCCUUUGUGGGGAGCGAGCUGUCGAGUAGAGUAACUGCC